UACAGAGGUCCCAAGCGUUGUUCGGAUUCACUGGGCGUAAAGGGUGCGUAGGCGGUCGGGUAAGUCUGAUGUGAAAUCUCACAGCUUAACUGUGAAACUGCAUUGGAUACUAUCCGGCUCGGGGAAUGGAGGGGAGACUGGAAUACUUGGUGUAGCAGUGAAAUGCGUAGAUAUCAAGUGGAACACCAGUGGCGAAGGCGAGUCUCUGGACAUUUCCUGACGCUGAGGCACGAAAGCCAGGGGAGCAAACGGG
rnacentral:rRNA from 1 species